rnacentral:sRNA from 2 species
GUAGAUGCUCAUUCCACCUGUUAUGUUCGCUUUAUGCCUCAUAAUGCCAGGAAUGAUGCAGAGCCUUUGCGGUGCUUAUCGUCCAAAGACAGAUGUCGGUUUCACCCUCAUCAGACACCAUGGACAUAACGUUGAGUGAAGCACCAAGCUUGUUGUUAUAUGACCUGAUUUAACACCUGCCCAGUGGGCAGGUGUUUUUUU